UCCCCGUUAGUCUAGAUGGUCAGGAUAGGCGGCUCUCACCCGCCAGACCCGGGUUCGAUUCCCGGACGGGGAA
rnacentral:tRNA from 1 species